rnacentral:rRNA from 1 species
UACGUACCGUCCAAGCGUUAUUCGGAAUCACUGGGCUUAAAGAGUUCGUAGGCGGCCCAGAAAGUUGGGUGUGAAAUCCCUCGGCUUAACCGAGGAAUUGCGCUCAAAACUACUGGGCUAGAGGGAGAUAGAGGUGAGCGGAACUGAUGGUGGAGCGGUGAAAUGCGUUGAUAUCAGCAGGAACACCGGAGGCGAAGGCGGCUCACUGGGUCUCUCCUGACGCUGAGGAACGAAAGCUAGGGGAGCGAACGGG